AGGCGGGACGUAAUCAGGUUGAUUUUUCUUGGGCGAAUAUCAACAUUGACAAGGAUUCGAUCGUCUUUCGCGUGAUCAAGGGGGACGGCGCCAUCAAUGUGCUCAACACGAACUACCCGCCCAAUGAGAACGCGCUGUACUGGACGGUGAGCGCUGAAAAGGCCGGGCCGGCGGUGAUUCGCAUUUCGUACCUGAUUGGCAACAUGGCGACCGAUCCGAGCUACCAGGGAAUCGUGGACAAUGACGAGAAAAAACUGCUGUUGCAGCUUUACAUGACGGUGACCAACACCAGCGGCGAGAGUUUUGGGGAAACAGUCGUGCAGCCCGGCGUGGGGAAAACCACGGUGGGGUAUUUCAAUAAUGGCGAACGGAAACGAAUGCUGGCGG
rnacentral:misc_RNA from 1 species